UGUUCGGAAUUACUGGGCGUAAAGGGAGCGCAGGCGGCCAAAUCAGUCUGAAGUGAAAUCCCGGAGCUUAACUCCGGACGUGCUUUGGAUACUGUUUGGCUUGAGUUCGCGAGAGGUAAGCGGAAUUCCAGGUGUAGCGGUGAAAUGCGUAGAUAUCUGGAGGAACAUCGGUGGCGAAAGCGGCUUACUGGCGCGAUACUGACGCUGAGGCUCGAAAGCGUGGGGAGC
rnacentral:rRNA from 1 species